UCUCUACCGCAGCAACCGGUUUGGAAACAAUGACCCGCAGAAGGGGUGCGGUGUUGGUUUUCUGUUUUCUUCUCUUUAUUGCAACCCCCUUUUCGCUUCUGGCACUUGGGACUUUUUGAAGAGCAGUGGAGCUACCAAACUGGUUUGAAACGGUUUACGACUGUGCAGUGUAAAUGCAACCCGUGCCAUUUCAGUAUUUGUGUUUUGGUUGGAUCUAAGGGUUAGGGAACGAGAGCUCAAUGAGCAUGUGCAGUUGGCCCAAGUUGAAGAAAAGCCUUCAGCAGCUGCAACUUAUGCAGAAGAACAGCUGGGAUAAAGAAGCCGUGCAUUAUUCAUUGUUUGGACUUUCUCAUUUUUCUUUAUUUACUGGGCACUGUUAGUAAUUGUCACUGUUUUGAGUGCUUUUCUUGAAAGGCACUGAGGAUUUUGUAUGCUUGAGUUGUGCUCCACUAUUAUUUAUUUCUUACUUAUGUACAAUUGUUGUGUUUAAAUUAAUUUGUUGAAGCAAUUUUAUAUUUGUUCGACAAGCCACAAGGUGCUGUCAUUUUAUUAAAUUUUCCUAGGACCUCCAUGGAGGUUGAUGUAGGAUGAGUACAUUA